GACGAACCGUGCGAACGUUAUUCGGAAUCACUGGGCUUAAAGGGCGCGUAGGCGGGCUGACAAGUCUGGGGUGAAAUACCACGGCUCAACCGUGGAACUGCCUCAGAUACUGUCGGCCUCGAGGGAGGUAGGGGCGUGCGGAACUGUAGGUGGAGCGGUGAAAUGCGUUGAUAUCUACAGGAACUCCGGUGGCGAAAGCGGCGCGCUGGACCUCUUCUGACGCUGAGGCGCGAAAGCUAGGGGAGCAAACGGG
rnacentral:rRNA from 1 species